rnacentral:rRNA from 1 species
AGAGUUUGAUCCUGGCUCAGGAUGAACGCUGGCGGCGUGCCUAAUACAUGCAAGACGAGCGAACUGAUUAGAAGCUUGCUUCUAUGACGUUAGCGGCGGACGGGUGAGUAACACGUGGGCAACCUGCCUGUAAGACUGGGAUAACUUCGGGAAACCGAAGCUAAUACCGGAUAGGAUCUUCUCCUUCAUGGGAGAUGAUUGAAAGAUGGUUUCGGCUAUCACUUACAGAUGGGCCCGCGGUGCAUUAGCUAGUUGGUGAGGUAACGGCUCACCAAGGCAACGAUGCAUAGCCGACCUGAGAGGGUGAUCGGCCACACUGGGACUGAGACACGGCCCAGACUCCUACGGGAGGCAGCAGUAGGGAAUCUUCCGCAAUGGACGAAAGUCUGACGGAGCAACGCCGCGUGAGUGAUGAAGGCUUUCGGGUCGUAAAACUCUGUUGUUAGGGAAGAACAAGUACGAGAGUAACUGCUCGUACCUUGACGGUACCUAACCAGAAAGCCACGGCUAACUACGUGCCAGCAGCCGCGGUAAUACGUAGGUGGCAAGCGUUAUCCGGAAUUAUUGGGCGUAAAGCGCGCGCAGGCGGUUUCUUAAGUCUGAUGUG